GCAUUAAUGGGGUAGUGGUAACCUGGGUCGUUGCCAUGUGUAUAUCGACCCGCCGGGGGUUCAAUUCCCCCUUAAUGCA